rnacentral:lncRNA from 1 species
UCACUCUAACGUUAUUAAAUGUUUUCCCCUGGGCCCUUCGUUUUAAAUUGCCCAGUCUGCAGAGUUCGGGUUGGAUCUAGUAGGAGACGAGGCAUAGUCACCCGCUUUUCGGCCAGUUUUCAUCAGUAGGUUACCUGUUCAACCUACUCGUGUUUUCUUGCUUCCGCUUGUGUUUAGUAGCUCUGAAUACUUUAGAAUUUUUGUAUAUUAUGUGAAGUUCAGAAGUGUAAUAUGAAAUUUUCGAAUUAGGGUUGUCCAUCUGCAAGGGAGAUUUUCUUAAUCUUUUCAGUAAAUUUUCCUUGGAGGUGGUCCCCGCACGACUUACUCUGGGUUUCAGGGUGAAAUUCGGGGUGGGUCGUGUCACCUUGGGCUGCCUUGACCUGGCUGAACUAACCUUGUGUCGCUUUGACCAGCCUUGACUUGCCUUGGGCCGCCUUGACCUGCUUUAACCAGCCUUGGGCCGCCUUGACCCUCCUAGACCCUCCAAGGAGCCGCUUUAACCCGCCUUCGGCCACCUUGACCCCCUUUAUCCCGCCAUGGGCCGCCUUAACCCGCCUUAGGCCGCCUUGACCCACCUAGAGACGCCAAGAGGUCGCCUUAACCCAUCUAGGCCGCCAAGGGGCCGCCAUGAACCGCUUUGGGCCGCCUUGACCCGCCUUAACCCUCUUUGACCCGCCUUGGCCGCUUUGAUCCUCCUAGGGCCGCUAAGAGGCCGUCUUAACCCAUCUCGGGCUGCCAAGGGGCCGUUUUGGCCAGCCUUGGCCCGCCAUAGGCCUCCUUGACCCUCCUAGGCUUGCUUAGGGCCACCAAGGGGCCGUCUUCACCCACCAAGGGGAUGCAUUGACCCGUCUAGGGCCUUCAAGGGGCCGCCUUGACCCCCCAUGGGCCUCCUUAACCCGUCGUGACCCGCCUUAACCCUCGUAGGGCCGCCUUAAUCUAUCUAGGGCCGCCAAUGGGUUGCCUUGACCUGCUUUAAACCAGCCUUGGGCCGCCUUGACCCG